CCUACGGGAGACAGCAGUGAGGAAUAUUGGUCAAUGGACGAGAGUCUGAACCAGCCAAGUAGCGUGAAGGAUGACUGCCCUAUGGGUUGUAAACUUCUUUUAUAUGGGAAUAAAAUGUUCCACGUGUGGGAUUUUGUAUGUACCAUAUGAAUAAGGAUCGGCUAACUCCGUGCCAGCAGCCGCGGUAAUACGGAGGAUCCGAGCGUUAUCCGGCUUUAUUGGGUUUAAAGGGAGCGUAGGUGGAUUGUUAAGUCAGUUGUGAAAGUUUGCGGCUCAACCGUAAAAUUGCAGUUGAAACUGGCAGUCUUGAGUACAGUAGAGGUGGGCGGAAUUCGUGGUGUAGCGGUGAAAUGCUUAGAUAUCACGAAGAACUCCGAUUGCGAAGGCAGUUCACUGGACUGCAACUGACACUGAGGCUCGAAAGUGUGGGUAUCAAACAGGAUUAGAUACCCCAGUAGUC
rnacentral:rRNA from 1 species